rnacentral:lncRNA from 1 species
NNNNNNNNNNNNNCAUCAAGAGGAAAGGCUUUCGCGGUCCCGCGGACCCUGCACGGUCGCCUCCUGGGGAGGACUGAGCCAGGGAGUGAAGUCGGGGACCAGGGCCGGGGGACCCCUAGGGAUUCCAAGCCGCGCCAGGCACGGCGGGGAGGGUCUCGGGCCCUGGCACCUGCAGAGAGGGGCAGCGGGACGAGGCACCGGGCCCGGGCGCCUGGCGGGCCAGGCACAGGAAGCCCAGGCUCGGCGCCCUGGUGGCCGCCAUGUCUGGGCGGGACUAGCGGAAGGCGCUGCGAGGAGCCCGGGGCCCUGGGCCUUGGGCAGUGGGCCCCUUCCCCUCGGAGCAAGAUCGGGUUCGGCCUGGGCGGGCCCAGGGCCCCCGAAGGCCCUCUGGGCCACGGGGCAGCCCUGCCGACGACCACGGCGGGGCGCUGGAGUCGCGUUGCCACGGGCGGCCUUAGAGGCGGGCCCAGGGCGGUUCUUCUGUGCAUGCAGCUCAGAGGUGGCGGCGUGGCAGCCUGGCUACCCGGUGCGGUGCCCAGGGGGCCUGGGGCCCAGCCAGGGCCCGCAGCCGCAGUUCCGAAGGGGACGGCCCUCCCCGGCACGGGGGAGCCAGGGCGGCAGGGGAAGCUAGUCGGCAGUUGGCCGUUGCCGUGCCCUCCCCGGGGGCGUCCAGGCUUCUGGCACAGGCCUGUCCCGAGGGCUCCGGCACCCAUCUCCCUCCCUGAGUGGCGAGGAGGACAGAGGAGGAGCGGAGCGAGCAGAGCCCAGCCCAGCGGAUGCCCAGGCCGGGCCUUUGCCGACCCUGGCCCUCUUGGCCACCUGCCCCAAGAGGCCCUGAGCCUCCCCUGGGCCAUGCGAAUGAGUGGCCCUGGCGCCCGCUCCCCCCUGGCUGUCUAGGUCUCGACCCCAUGCUUGCCUCUCGGCAGCUGGGGCCGGGCCACCGGCUCUGAAGGCUCUGCCUAAAGCUCACCACUGUCAGGUUGAGAGAGGCCGCCCGGCCAACGCAACCCCCACGGGGCUUGCUGCUCAGGCCAGGGAGCAGGUGCCUGAUCCUGGGCACCAGGCCGGCCCUUCCUGCUAGACCCUGACUGUCCCCAUAGCUCGCUUCUGGAAGAAGAGCCUCCGGGUUGGCUCCUUCGUGCCUCUGGCCAGGCUCCCACUUGCCGCGGGGGUGGGAUGUU